GUAGGAAUACCUUGUUGAAACGAGGACACAAAACUUCUAGAAGGUAAACAUAGAUCGCUCCAUUCCCUACUCUUACUCAAUAUGUCCUCAUCUUACAGAACGGUAACAUUUUUCUCUAUUUUCCAAACUUGGGUAUACGGGAACAGCCAACCGUUUGAGAAGAUGGGAGGCAGGGCAAAAUUGAGAGAA
rnacentral:ribozyme from 1 species